rnacentral:lncRNA from 1 species
ACGCGUGCUUCAGCCACCCUUUUUCCCCCUACCCAGCCUGGAACCCCAACGCCCAGCCCGACGCAGUCGCACUCUUACACAAGCCCUUAGGUAAGCACGAUUCACCUCCGCUUCCUGACACUGAGCCUUUAGGAGAGGGCACUGGUGAAUGGUGUUGUCCAACUCU